rnacentral:antisense_RNA from 1 species
AGUGAUGAUGUCCCACCACGAUGCAAGGGCUCUCCUGGCUGGGGCUAGUGGAGGCAGUUUUGAUGGAAGUUAAGGAUUUGCAACUUAGAGGAUUUCUGGGAUAAUUCUCUUAAAGUAGUGACUUCACCAACAGGAAUUCCAGGCCCCCUGGUGUGUCAGCUCAAGGGAUAAGCAGAGUAUGCCAGGUUCCCAGGUGCCAAUGAACAGAGAAAUAGCCAAAGGGCUCGCUGAGUGGCAGCAGAGGAUUGAUUUGUUCAGUGUUUUGAAAUUACCAGGGAAGAGCUUUUGAGGAUGUUUGAGAUCCAUGAUUCAAAACAGGGAGGGACACAUGAGUGGCAGGUGACAUCAGAAGCCACCAGCCAUUCCUCAAAUUGCCAGCUCUGGAGCCCUCCAUCCUGCACUCGAAGGAGAUACUGCAAACCCUGCCAAGGUGUUCAUGCUUCUCAUGCUUUAACAUUU